AGCAACCUGAAGGAUCAAAGCCUUUGCCCCUAUGGUAGUGACUGGAUCGAUUGAUUAUGAUGGUUUGGGCCCCGUUUCAUGGUGGUAGGAUGCUUGUGACAUAAUUUUAUGAAGCGGAACCGAAGCAGCGUCGCAAAAUUUCUACUCCCAGGUUGUCAACAAGGAAUUAAUGAGCC